GACGAACGCUGGCGGCGUGCUUAACACAUGCAAGUCGAACGGAAAGGCCCUGCUUUUGUGGGGUGCUCGAGUGGCGAACGGGUGAGUAACACGUGAGUAACCUGCCCUUGACUUUGGGAUAACUUCAGGAAACUGGGGCUAAUACCGGAUAGGAGCUCCUGCUGCAUGGUGGGGGUUGGAAAGUUUCGGCGGGUGGGGAUGGACUCGCGGCUUAUCAGCUUGUUGGUGGGGUAGUGGCUUACCAAGGCUUUGACGGGUAGCCGGCCUGAGAGGGUGACCGGCCACAUUGGGACUGCGGUACGGCCCAGACUCCUACGGGGGGCAGCAGUGGGGAAUAUUGCACAAUGGGCGGAAGCCGGAUGCAGCAACGCCGCGGGCGGGAUGACGGCCUUCGGGUUGUAAACCGCUUUCGCCUGUGACGAAGCGUGAGUGACGGUAAUGGGUAAAGAAGCACCGGCUAACUACGUG
rnacentral:rRNA from 1 species